rnacentral:rRNA from 1 species
AAAUAGAUACCCUGGUAGUCCACGCCGUAAACGAUGAGUGCUAAGUGUUAGAGGGUUUCCGGCCCUUUAGUGCUGCAGCUAACGCAUUAAGCACUCCGCCUGGGGAGUACGGCCGCAAGGCUGAAACUCAAAGGAAUUGACGGGGGCCCGCACAAGCGGUGGAGCAUGUGGUUUAAUUCGAAGCAACGCGAAGAACCUUACCAGGUCUUGACAUCCUCUGCCAACCCUAGAGAUAGGGCGUUCCCCUUCGGGGGACAGAGUGACAGGUGGUGCAUGGUUGUCGUCAGCUCGUGUCGUGAGAUGUUGGGUUAAGUCCCGCAACGAGCGCAACCCUUGAUCUUAGUUGCCAGCAUUCAGUUGGGCACUCUAAGGUGACUGCCGGUGACAAACCGGAGGAAGGUGGGGAUGACGUCAAAUCAUCAUGCCCCUUAUGACCUGGGCUACACACGUGCUACAAUGGGUGGUACAAGAGCUGCGAACCCGCGAGGGUAAGCCAAUCUCAUAAAGCCAUUCUCAGUUCGGAUUGUAGG